rnacentral:rRNA from 1 species
AUUACAUGUGGCGCGCCGAGAGGCGCGCCGCCUGGGAUAGAACCCUUGCCAUUUUCGAGUACCGUACCGUUUCCUCGGCAGGCUCGCCUGCCAACGGGGACCCCACAACAAACCUUUUUGCUCCGGCAAACCUGAACAGUCAGUCUGAAACGAAAAAACAAAUAGAAAAUCAAAACUUUCAACAACGGAUCUCUUGGUUCUGGCAUCGAUGAAGAACGCAGCGAAAUGCGAUAAGUAGUGUGAAUUGCAGAAUUCAGUGAAUCAUCGAAUCUUUGAACGCACAUUGCGCCCUUUGGUAUUCCUUAGGGCAUGCCUGUCCGAGCGUCAUUUCGCACCCUCGAGCCCAGCUCGGUGAUGGGCGCCCUGUCCGCCUCCCACGGCGGACUCGCCCCGAAGACAUUGGCGAACCGGUUCCCCCGGGCCCCUCGAGCGCAGCAGAAACGCGACUCUCGGGGCGACCCGCGGCCGGGCCACCAGAAGUGACACAACCAUACCAGCUUGACCUCGGAUCAGGUAGGGAUACCCGCUGAACUUAAGCAUAUCAAUAAGCGGAGGAAAAGAAACCAACAGGGAUUGCCCCAGUAACGGCGAGUGAAGCGGCAAGAGCUCAAAUUUGAAAUCUGGCCCCCCAGGGGGUCCGAGUUGUAAUUUGCAGAGGGUGCUUUGGCGCGGGCUGUGGUCUAAGUUCCUUGGAACAGGACGUCGCA